rnacentral:rRNA from 1 species
CACGUAGGGCGCAAGCGUUGUCCGGAAUUAUUGGGCGUAAAGAGCUUGUAGGCGGUUUGUCGCGUCUGCCGUGAAAUUUCGAGGCUCAACCUCGAACUUGCGGUGGGUACGGGCAGACUAGAGUGUGGUAGGGGAGACUGGAAUUCCUGGUGUAGCGGUGAAAUGCGCAGAUAUCAGGAGGAACACCGAUGGCGAAGGCAGGUCUCUGGGCCACUACUGACGCUGAGAAGCGAAAGCAUGGGGAGCGAACAGG